rnacentral:lncRNA from 1 species
ACCUUCUUAGAUAUCCCAAGCUCCUUGUAUAGCAUUUCUAUUUUCUCGCCGUUCAGCCACCGUUUGGAAGGUAGGGGAGCAGCUGGCGGCGGAGCCCAGGGCUGGCACGUCCAACCGGCUGAAGGCUAUAAAUAUAUAGGAUUCCAACACCUUCCCCGUGGGCAUUGGGGGCGUUCGUUGGGGGAAAAUUGUGGGUUUGGUUUUUUUUUUUUUUUCAAUUGUAAUUUUUAGUCAAAGUGUCAAUUUUUUUUACAAGUGUCAUUUCCGACAGUCACUGUGUCAUUUUCGGCUGUCGCUGUGUCAUUUACUAUAGUCACGUUGGAGAAAAUUGAUGAUCGAAUAUAAUUUAGAAAAAACAAAAGGU